rnacentral:rRNA from 1 species
GACGAACGCUGGCGGCGUGCUUAACACAUGCAAGUCGAACGAGACCCUCGCUUCGGUGGGGUGUUCUAGUGGCGAACGGGUGAGUAACACGUGGGCAACCUGCCCCCAGCUCUGGGAUAACUCCAAGAAAUUGGGGCUAAUACCGGAUAUGACCGCUGGCCGCAUGGUCUGGUGGUGGAAAGUUUUUCGGCUGGGGAUGGGCCCGCGGCCUAUCAGCUUGUUGGUGGGGUAGUGGCCUACCAAGGCGACGACGGGUAGCCGGCCUGAGAGGGUGACCGGCCACACUGGGACUGAGACACGGCCCAGACUCCUACGGGAGGCAGCAGUGGGGAAUAUUGCGCAAUGGGCGGAAGCCUGACGCAGCGACGCCGCGUGGGGGAUGACGGCCUUCGGGUUGUAAACCUCUUUCAGCAGGGACGAAGCGCAAGUGACGGUACCUGCAGAAGAAGCACCGGCCAACUACGUGCCAGCCGCCGCCGUAAGAC